UCACUUAUACCGCUCAACAUUUAGCCAAAAUUAAAACGAAAAUUUAAAAUUUCACUUGUGAGUGCAAACAUUUAGCCAAAUAUUACCCUUUUUACCUCCCACACUUAGAAAAAAUUACAAAACCCAUUUGUGACCUAAUUUUUCUCAUCUCUCCACAUGAGACCUCCAAGGCUCCAACGCUCAUCUCGUUCCAACCCAGAGAAGAGAGAUAUUGCUUGAAGACAUAUUCGCUCAGUUAGGAAGCCAAAAUCGAGCUUCCGCAAGUAGUUUUCGUCGGAAGUUAAAGCAGCGGCCAAUCCAGCGUUCUCGAAGCACUCGUCGGCCAUGAUUUUCUCCCUCGUGGGAAUGAAAGCGAGAAACCCAGAUUCGAAUGGGUCUAGUCAUGGUGAAGAUGAGACAAUCUAGAACGGAGAAGAAGAUUGGGUGACAAAGUUUCAGAGAUUGUAAAGAGAACGAAUGGAGUUGUGACGAUGGUAACGUAGAUGCGGAAGAUGGCGGAGAAGAAGAAUAAGCUCAGAGGUGGGUAAGCAGAUCGGAGAUAAACCCUAAUCCUCAUUCAUGUGUUAGCAUUUGACGGUUGUGUCUCAGAUUCAGCUGUGAAGAGCUAAUGGACAUAAUUAAAGAAUUUAAGCAAUACAUACUUGGAGAAGCAGGGUUUAAAUCAUUAGACGUGUUGCUGUUAAUUAUGGAUUGUAUUCUAUUAAUUCUAUAUCUGAUGGGGUUGAUAAUGAUGAUGAGUCUAAUGGGCAAGAAAAGCUUGAUCCUGACCCGGGAACAUGUUUUGUUAAUAGUAAGAAUGAGAAGGAAGGUGUUUAGGAGAAGGAGCUUGUAGGAUUGUAGGAGCAGUUUAAGUUAUUGACUGGUGAGAAUAAUUUGCAAGGUGAAGAUGGAAAUACUAAUGUGGUGAUUCUAUUUCUUCUUGCCUAGGGAGUUCAAAAGUGACGUGAGUACAAGCUCUAGAAUGUUUCUAACUCAUGUAGAAAGAAGUUAUCCAAUAAUACAGGCAAUUGAAAAGUAAAUGGCUGUCUUUUCUCAAGUACCAGCAGAAAAUGGAGAAGUUAAUCAAGUCCAAGAUUGCCUAUCUCCUCAAACGUUAAAGGCUACAUGAAUUUGGACUUGUUUGUUCGAGGUAAAGACGAGAAGGAGAUAGCUGACCCAAAACAUGGAGCCAAUUUAUGUACUUGACUUAAGGAGGAAAUGGUGUGUCAUUUGCUUGUGUAAGAGUUAUUUUUUGUUGUUUUCUUGAUCGAUGUGUUUUAUUUUCUUCGAAUAUGAUAAUAUGUAAGACUUUUUUUGGGUAUAUAGAUUGACUAUUUUGCAAAUUAAGCAGGUUUCACCAAAUGUAAAUAGCUUAAUACGACUGCAUAAAAUAAGAGUCAUAACACUGAAUAUUAUAGCAUUGAAAAAACAAUAGUUCAUAGCACAGAUAUAUCGUCAUUAUUAACAAUAUAAAGUAGCUAUAUCAAAGCGUUUUACUAAUGCUAUGGUAGAAUAGUCUAUCAUAGCAUACAGAAAAAACGUUAUCGUACGUGGGGGAUCUACCAUA